UGCUGGAGGUAUCAGAAGUGCGAAUGCUGACAUAAGUAACGAUAAAGCGGGUGAAAAGCCCGCUCGCCGGAAGACCAAGGGUUCCUGUCCAACGUUAAUCGGGGCAGGGUGAGUCGACCCCUAAGGCGAGGCCGAAAGGCGUAGUCGAUGGGAAACGGGUUAAUAUUCCCGUACUUGGUGUUACUGCGAAGGGGGGACGGAGAAGGCUAUGUUGGCCGGGCGACGGUUGUCCCGGUUUAAGCGUGUAGGUGUGUGUUCCAGGUAAAUCCGGUUCACUUUAACACUGAGGCGUGACGACGAGGCACUACGGUGCUGAAGCAACAAAUGCCCUGCUUCCAGGAAAAGCCUCUAAGCAUCAGGUAACAUCAAAUCGUACCCCAAACCGACACAGGUGGUCAGGUAGAGAAUACCAAGGCGCUUGAGAGAACUCGGGUGAAGGAACUAGGCAAAAUGGUGCCGUAACUUCGGGAGAAGGCACGCUGACACGUAGGUGAAGUGAUUUACUCAUGGAGCUGAAGUCAGUCGAAGAUACCAGCUGGCUGCAACUGUUUAUUAAAAACACAGCACUGUGCAAACACGAAAGUGGACGUAUACGGUGUGACGCCUGCCCGGUGCCGGAAGGUUAAUUGAUGGGGUCAGCGCAAGCGAAGCUCCUGAUCGAAGCCCCGGUAAACGGCGGCCGUAACUAUAACGGUCCUAAGGUAGCGAAAUUCCUUGUCGGGUAAGUUCCGACCUGCACGAAUGGCGUAAUGAUGGCCAGGCUGUCUCCACCCGAGACUCAGUGAAAUUGAACUCGCUGUGAAGAUGCAGUGUACCCGCGGCAAGACGGAAAGACCCCGUGAACCUUUACUAUAGCUUGACACUGAACAUUGAGCCUUGAUGUGUAGGAUAGGUGGGAGGCUUUGAAGUGUGGACGCCAGUCUGCAUGGAGCCGACCUUGAAAUACCACCCUUUAAUGUUUGAUGUUCUAACGUGGACCCGUAAUCCGGGUUGCGGACAGUGUCUGGUGGGUAGUUUGACUGGGGCGGUCUCCUCCUAAAGAGUAACGGAGGAGCACGAAGGUUGGCUAAUCCUGGUCGGACAUCAGGAGGUUAGUGCAAUGGCAUAAGCCAGCUUGACUGCGAGCGUGACGGCGCGAGCAGGUGCGAAAGCAGGUCAUAGUGAUCCGGUGG
rnacentral:rRNA from 1 species